rnacentral:tRNA from 1 species
GGGAGUAUAGCUCAGUGGUAGAGCACAUGCUUAGCAUGCAGGAAGCCAAAGGUUCAAUUCCCAGUACUUUCC